rnacentral:rRNA from 1 species
UAACCUGACCCAAAGAGGGGGAUAACACCUGGAAACAGGUGCUAAUACCGCAUAAGACCACAAUGUCGCAUGACGAAGGGGUCAAAGAAAAUCGCUUUGGGAGGGGUUCGCGUCCCAUUAGGUAGUAGGCGGGGUAAUAGCCCACCUAGCCGACGAUGGGUAGCCGAGCUGAGAGGCUGAUCGGCCACACUGGAACUGAGACACGGUCCAGACUCCUACGGGAGGCAGCAGUGGGGAAUAUUGGGCAAUGGGCGCAAGCCUGACCCAGCAACGCCGCGUGAGGGAAGAAGGUUUUCGGAUUGUAAACCUCUGUCGCAGAAGACGAAGGAAGUGACGGUAUUCUGUGAGGAAGCCCCGGCUAACUACGUGCCAGCAGCCGCGGUAAUACGUA